UCCAACUGGUUCCAGGUGUAACCCAUCUUUAUGAUUUCAGCCUUGAUGUCAUGUUGCCAGGUGUUUCUAGGGUAAUGCCUACCCCCUUAUGUUGGUUGGCAGUUUACAAAGGGUGUCCACUCUCCAGCCCCAUCUUCUCUAGCUGAUUUCUUAUUCAGCAGGAAGUUAAUGUGUCCUUUUUAUUGCUGAUGGUGUCAGGCCAGUGGAUCGGGAGAAUUGAUUAAGGUUUGGACCUUCCCGGUGGUCUAUCUUGGUUGUCCUUUAGGCUUCAGCUCCAUACAGCAACAAUGACUUGAAGUUGGAGAUAAAAAAGACAGGUUAUGUGUUUUCAGAGUGAGCAGAGAGGAUGUUUUCAGCACAGAACUGAGAGCGUGCAAAUCCGCCAUCACUGGAGACAUCAGCCCAGCUUGCUGAGCUGAGGGAAGACCACUGGGAUCUCUCUCUCUCUCGCUUUCUCUCACUCAACUUCUCUUCCCUCUCCACAUUCGAGAGAAGAACUGACACUCAUCUCGUCCCACACUGGGAGGAUUCAAAGGAGCAGUCAUCCAGCAAAUGAAAUGCAGAGAGAGCUCAGCGGAGAGCAGGGGGACCAUUCCUAUCACCAUCCACCUUUCGGAAACUGUUAAUUGCAGAGGCAGUGGUAAAAACGUAUUCAAACUGUGACGACAAAAUUAAAGGAUCCUUAUACAUCUAA